UCUUCAGAUGAACUGAUUUUUAUGUAGAGCACACGUGUUGGAUUCUGCCUGGUGUGGAUUAAUGAGUACGAUCACUCCAAGCCCAUCCAGGGGCAGCAGAAGAAGCCCUUUGAGGAGCACUGGAGGAAGCACACCCUGUCCUAUGUGGACGUCAGCACUGGGAAGGUCACCCUGGAAUAUAGACCCGUAAUUGACAAAACUUUGAAUGAGGCUGACUGUGCCGCCAUCCCCCCAGCCAUUCACUCCUGCUGAUGAGACAAGAUGCGGUGAUGACAGAAUCAGCUUUUGUAAUUAUGUAUAAUAACUCAUGUAUGUGUCCAUGUCAUAAGUGUCUUCAUACGCUUCUGCACUCCAGGGAAGAAGGAGUACAUUGAGGGGAGAUUGGCACCCAGUGGCCGGGAGCUUGCCAGGAACCCAGUGGCCAGGGAGCGUGGCACUUACCUUUGUCCCUUGCUUCAUUCUUGUGACAUGAUAAAACUGGGCACAGCUCUUAAAUAAAAUAUAAAUGAACAAACUUUCUUUUAUUUCCAAAUCCAUUUACAAUAUUUUACUGUUGUGACUUGUCAUAUUUGUUGACCUAAAAAUCAAAUGUAAUUGUCUUUGUAUUCUGUCACAUCAAAAUCCAGAUAUUUUG
rnacentral:lncRNA from 1 species